GUGGCUUGGUCAUGUUCUUUCCAAUUUUACUCGCGAUCCCAGACGGACGUCUGAGGAAAAUACUCAAGUAGUGCAGUGAAAGGAAAAAUUCUAACCUCGACCGUAAUUACCGCGUGUCCAUCGUGGCUAAGAUCUAGUCAAAAGAUCAGCCGACCAUUCCUACGUUUAUUAAGCGAAGGCCGAACCCAUCGGGUUUGGCCGUACGUAAUACCGUACGAAACGCCGGUCGUAGUGCCGUAAGCCGUACCCACUACAGUCUCGUCACCUUACCACACAUAUAAAUACCCAGCGUCCCGAUCGACUACAGGAUGUGUUAGCCGUCUUCGCCCCCAAAUCUUCUUUCGGCGUGGCGUCUGCAUACAUUGACUUUCGUCAUUGCUACGUCGCUUACGCCGCCCGCAUACGAACAGUAACGCUAAAGGAGAAGACAUUUACCGGUGCCGAAAUACUGUUUGCGUUGCUGAUGAAGUCAUUCGGUGUCUCGAUCAUGAUGGCUAUGCCCAUGCAUUUCUUCAUAUUAGAAUAAUACUUUGGAACCCCACUAUUGUACUGACCCUAGGAUUAACAUUAAAAGUUAAUUUCGUGUGAUUCGGUUUGGCUGGCUUAUCAUAAAGAAAUGUGCAGCUAGAAGGAAAGGAACUAAAACUAAUACUCGCGCGUAUCGCCUAUCUACUCUGACACACUGAUAUUUACAAGUUUUCAGCCACCCUCAUCGACCACAUGGAACCGCUUUCAUCGUUGGAUUUGAUCGUAAUGUGAGUGAUAACCUGUGAACGUCUGCUAUAUGUGAAUUCAAAAUUUUACGCAAGUCGAAGCAACAUUAAAGAUUCCAUGCCUCGACCGUAAACUUCCCAGCCGUACUGUAACGCUGACCAAUCCAAUUGUUCACGUGCUUGUUUUGUUCUGCUC